rnacentral:rRNA from 12 species
AGCAGCCGCACUGCAGUGCGAGUGCCCAAUAGCGUCUGCUCUUGGAAGCUAAGUGGGGCCAUGCCUGGUUAGUACUUAGAUGGGAAACCAACUAGAAAGACCAAGGGCCGCUAUCC